UCAAAUGAUAAAAUGCUAUUUUGGUCAUUUUAGUUUUUGAGUGCUAUUUUUGUGAUAUAAACUUAAAAAAAUGCUAUUUUAGAGAUUUGUCCUUAAUAUAAUAAUUAAUAUAUUUAUGACUCUGAUAAGAUAAUUUUCUAGCUUUGCCACUGAUAAUCGGUGUCCAGUGUCGACUCUCUUUUUAGGCAUACUCUAAUCAAACGGUUUUGGUGUUAGAAAUUUAAAAACUAUGACUAGUCUUUGCUUCUGUUUUAGUUUCUUGAUUAAUCAGGUUCACAUUCUUGAAAAACUGCCAAAAUUAUGUUG
rnacentral:lncRNA from 1 species